rnacentral:rRNA from 1 species
UACGUAGGGUGCGAGCGUUGUCCGGAAUCAUUGGGCGUAAAGGGCGCGUAGGUGGCCCGGUCAGUUCGUGGUGAAAGCGCGGGGCUCAACCCUGCGUCGGCCAUGAAUACUGCCGCGGCUGGAGCACUGUAGAGGCAGGCGGAAUUCCGGGUGUAGCGGUGGAAUGCGUAGAGAUCCGGAAGAACACCGGUGGCGAGGGCGGCCUGCUGGGCAGUUGCUGACGCUCAGGCGCGAAAGCGUGGGGAGCGAUCCGG